UACGUAGGUGGCAAGCGUUGUCCGGAUUUAUUGGGCGUAAAGAGCUCGUAGGCGGCUUGUCGCGUCGACUGUGAAAUCCCGCGGCUCAACCGCGGGUCUGCAGUCGAUACGGGCGGGCUGGGAUUCGGUAGGGGAGACUGGAAUUCCUGGUGUAGCGGUGAAAUGCGCAGAUAUCAGGAGGAACACCGGUGGCGAAGGCGGGUCUCUGGGCCGAUAUCGACGCUGAGGAGCGAAAGCGUGGGGAGCGAACAGG
rnacentral:rRNA from 1 species